rnacentral:tRNA from 1 species
GGGGGUUUAGCUCAGUUGGUAGAGCGCCUGCUUGCAAGCAGGAUGUCAGCGGUUCGAGUCCGCUAACCUCCA